rnacentral:rRNA from 1 species
AGAACGAACGCUGGCGGCAUGCCUAAUACAUGCAAGCCGAACGAACUCUUCGGAGUUAGUGGCGCACGGGUGCGUAACGCGUGGGAAUCUGCCCCUUGGUUCGGAAUAACAGUUGGAAACGACUGCUAAUACCGGAUGAUGACGAAAGUCCAAAGAUUUAUCGCCAAGGGAUGAGCCCGCGUAGGAUUAGCUAGUUGGUAGAGGUAAAGGCUCACCAAGGCAACGAUCCUUAGCUAGGUCUGAGAGGAUGAUCAGCCACA